rnacentral:rRNA from 1 species
GGUUAAGCGACUAAGCGUACACGGUGGAUGCCCUGGCAGUCAGAGGCGAUGAAGGACGUGCUAAUCUGCGAAAAGCGCCGGCGAGGUGAUAUGAACCUUUGACCCGGCGAUGUCCGAAUGGGGAAACCCAGUGCAAUCCGUUGCACUAUCGUUAACUGAAUACAUAGGUUAACGAGGCGAACCGGGGGAACUGAAACAUCUAAGUACCCCGAGGAAAAGAAAUCAACCGAGAUUCCCCCAGUAGCGGCGAGCGAACGGGGAGCAGCCCGGAGUCUGAAUCAGCUUGUGUGUUAGUGGAACGGUCUGGAAAGUCCGACGGUACAGGGUGAUAGUCCCGUACACGAAAGCACACUUGCUGUGAACUCGAAGAGUAGGGCGGGACACGUGGUAUCCUGUCUGAAUAUGGGGGGACCAUCCUCCAAGGCUAAAUACUCCUGACUGACCGAUAGUGAACCAGUACCGUGAGGGAAAGGCGAAAAGAACCCCGGCGAGGGGAGUGAAAAAGAACCUGAAACCGUGUACGUACAAGCAGUGGGAGCCUCUUUAUGGGGUGACUGCGUACCUUUUGUAUAAUGGGUCAGCGACUUAUAUUCUGUAGCAAGGUUAACCGUAUAGGGGAGCCGAAGGGAAACCGAGUCUUAACUGGGCGUUAAGUUGCAGGGUAUAGACCCGAAACCCGGUGAUCUAGCCAUGGGCAGGUUGAAGGUUGGGUAACACUAACUGGAGGACCGAACCGACUAAUGUUGAAAAAUUAGCGGAUGACCUGUGGCUGGGGGUGAAAGGCCAAUCAAACCGGGAGAUAGCUGGUUCUCCCCGAAAGCUAUUUAGGUAGCGCCUCGUGAACUCAUCUUCGGGGGUAGAGCACUGUUUCGGCUAGGGGGCCAUCCCGGCUUACCAACCCGAUGCAAACUACGAAUACCGAAGAAUGUUAUCACGGGAGACACACGGCGGGUGCUAACGUCCGUCGUGAAGAGGGAAACAACCCAGACCGCCAGCUAAGGUCCCAAAGUCAUGGUUAAGUGGGAAACGAUGUGGGAAGGCACAGACAGCCAGGAUGUUGGCUUAGAAGCAGCCAUCAUUUAAAGAAAGCGUAAUAGCUCACUGGUCGAGUCGGCCUGCGCGGAAGAUGUAACGGGGCUAAACCAUGCACCGAAGCUGCGGCAGCGACACUAUGUGUUGUUGGGUAGGGGAGCGUUCUGUAAGCCGUUGAAGGUGUCCUGUGAGGGGUGCUGGAGGUAUCAGAAGUGCGAAUGCUGACAUAAGUAACGAUAAAGCGGGUGAAAAGCCCGCUCGCCGGAAGACCAAGGGUUCCUGUCCAACGUUAAUCGGGGCAGGGUGAGUCGACCCCUAAGGCGAGGCCGAAAGGCGUAGUCGAUGGGAAACAGGUUAAUAUUCCUGUACUUGGUGUUACUGCGAAGGGGGGACGGAGAAGGCUAUGUCAGCCGGGCGACGGUUGUCCCGGUUUAAGCAUGUAGGCGGAGGUUCCAGGUAAAUCCGGUACCUUAUUAACGCUGAGGUGUGAUGACGAGGCACUACGGUGCUGAAGUGAUAAAUGCCCUGCUUCCAGGAAAAGCCUCUAAGCAUCAGGUAACACGAAAUCGUACCCCAAACCGACACAGGUGGUCAGGUAGAGAAUACCAAGGCGCUUGAGAGAACUCGGGUGAAGGAACUAGGCAAAAUGGUGCCGUAACUUCGGGAGAAGGCACGCUGAUGUGUAGGUGAAGCCCCUGCGGGCGGAGCUGAAAUCAGUCGAAGAUACCAGCUGGCUGCAACUGUUUAUUAAAAACACAGCACUGUGCAAACACGAAAGUGGACGUAUACGGUGUGACGCCUGCCCGGUGCCGGAAGGUUAAUUGAUGGGGUUAGCGGCAACGCGAAGCUCUUGAUCGAAGCCCCGGUAAACGGCGGCCGUAACUAUAACGGUCCUAAGGUAGCGAAAUUCCUUGUCGGGUAAGUUCCGACCUGCACGAAUGGCGUAAUGAUGGCCAGGCUGUCUCCACCCGAGACUCAGUGAAAUUGAACUCGCUGUGAAGAUGCAGUGUACCCGCGGCAAGACGGAAAGACCCCGUGAACCUUUACUAUAGCUUGACACUGAACACUGGUCCUUGAUGUGUAGGAUAGGUGGGAGGCUUUGAAGCGUGGACGCCAGUCUGCGUGGAGCCAACCUUGAAAUACCACCCUUUAAUGGCUGGUGUUCUAACGUAGACCCGUAAUCCGGGUUGCGGACAGUGUCUGGUGGGUAGUUUGACUGGGGCGGUCUCCUCCCAAAGAGUAACGGAGGAGCACGAAGGUUGGCUAAUCCUGGUCGGACAUCAGGAGGUUAGUGCAAUGGCAUAAGCCAGCUUGACUGCGAGCGUGACGGCGCGAGCAGGUGCGAAAGCAGGUCAUAGUGAUCCGGUGGUUCUGAAUGGAAGGGCCAUCGCUCAACGGAUAAAAGGUACUCCGGGGAUAACAGGCUGAUACCGCCCAAGAGUUCAUAUCGACGGCGGUGUUUGGCACCUCGAUGUCGGCUCAUCACAUCCUGGGGCUGAAGUAGGUCCCAAGGGUAUGGCUGUUCGCCAUUUAAAGUGGUACGCGAGCUGGGUUUAGAACGUCGUGAGACAGUUCGGUCCCUAUCUGCCGUGGGCGCUGGAGAAUUGAGGGGGGCUGCUCCUAGUACGAGAGGACCGGAGUGGACGCAUCACUGGUGUUCGGGUUGUCAUGCCAAUGGCACUGCCCGGUAGCUAAAUGCGGAAGAGAUAAGUGCUGAAAGCAUCUAAGCACGAAACUUGCCCCGAGAUGAGUUCUCCCUGAGACUUUAAGUCUCCUGAAGGAACGUUGAAGACGACGACGUUGAUAGGUCGGGUGUGUAAGCGCAGCGAUGCGUUGAGCUAACCGAUACUAAUGAACCGUGAGGCUUAACCUU